GGAACGGCUGGUUGCAGGUUUCUCUCGGCCUGGUCCCGCGCGGCCCCGCCGAGGCGGCGACCAAGCCCAUUCUCAGCUAUGAGAACAUUUUAAAGUGUGCUUUUCAAGAUAUAACAGUCCAGCAGGCAGCUGAAGACAUUUCCACCAUAGACCAUUUCCUAGAAAUAAGCAGUGAAGAAAAACCUGGCCUUGAAUGUGUACAUAAAUUGUGUAACGAAUCCAGAAAACUCUGGAGAGCCCUUCAGAGCAUACACACCACGUCUACUUCUCAGCGCCUCUGGAGCGAGUCCCGUUGCCAGGAGAACUUCUUUCUUGUUCUUGGAAUAGAUGCUGCGCAGAAGGAACCUUUCUGGAGGCCAGGGCCACAUCAUGGAAGAUUGUGACCUCAAAGAGCCUGAAGGACUCCUCACUGUCAGCAGCUUCUGUCUCCAGCAUUGCAAAGCCCUGAUCCAGACCAAGGUGCUCUCGGGGCCGCCUGGCAGCAAACAGGGGAGGCUGAUGACAUGCAGCCGCUUCCUGAAGACCCCCUCAUGCGGAGGUGGCCAGCACAUCACUAUUCCAAGGAAAAGGAUGUUCACUCCACGCAAGCUCAAAUUGACACUCUUUAAUAGCGACGUUUGCUAAAAUCAGGAGGACUUUGUACCUUUAUGAGGAAUUUUUCAUUUUCUUCCUGGCUGGAUUGAUGUGGAAACCAGAGCUGUCUGUGGAGCUGUUUUCCAGACCCCAGGCCCAUUCCUGGGAUCUCUCCAACAGGACCUGUCCUGUGUUCUGGGCUCGUCUCGGGUCUGACCAGGAGAUGGAGGAUGUGUCCUUGGCAGAGCCAAGGGGAGACAGAGGUUUCUGGGUGCCAUGACAGGCUGUCGGGGUCCAGGUGGCACCCAUGGGCCCCCUGCCCCAUGUGAAUGCUGCUGGCACCUGGUGGGGGUUGCUCAGGGAUGGACCCUGGGCAUGGCUUCUGGGCUGCUUAGUCCAGGGGGAGCAACUUGUGGCCAAAUCCAUGAGUUCAGAGGAAAAGGGGAAGGCACUGAAACGUCACCAGAGAGACAGCUGUUGAGACCGCUCAGAAACCGUCUGUCUGUCACACUGUGUCCUGGCUGCUGUGUGGUCAGGGCACCAUGAGGGUGUACAGAUGUGCUGUGUCCUCAAAGCCUCGCAGGUGCCCUCACUUAUUGCCUGGGCCCCUGCCCAGCAGCCUCAAGGACAGGCCUUUCUCCCUCACGGUUGUGGACAGGAGGUCGCACCACUGGCCUGCGAGAGCCUCUGGUGGGCCCGUGGCUUCCCCCAGUUAUCUGCCAAGGAAAACUGUGCUCUUUGAAGGGCAGAGCCAAGAAGUCAGCCCUGACUUUUGUAAAAUUUUAUUAAAUAAAACCACCUGGAU
rnacentral:lncRNA from 1 species